rnacentral:rRNA from 1 species
AGUGAACGCUGGCGGCAGGCCUAACACAUGCAAGUCGAGCGGAUGAAGGGAGCUUGCUCCUGGAUUCAGCGGCGGACGGGUGAGUAAUGCCUAGGAAUCUGCCUGGUUGUUGGGGAUAACGUCCGGAAACGGGCGCUAAUACCGCAUACGUCCUGAGGGAGAAAGUGGGGGAGCUUCGGACCUUACGCUAUCAGAUGAGCCUAGGUCGGAUUAGCUAGUUGGUGGGGUAAAGGCCUACCAAGGCGACGAUCCGUAACUGGUCUGAGAGGAUGAUCAGUCACACUGGAACUGAGACACGGUCCAGACUCCUACGGGAGGCAGCAGUGGGGAAUAUUGGACAAUGGGCGAAAGCCUGAUCCAGCCAUGCCGCGUGUGUGAAGAAGGUCUUCGGAUUGUAAAGCACUUUAAGUUGGGAGGAAGGGCAGUAAGUUAAUACCUUGCUGUUUUGACGUUACCAACAGAAUAAGCACCGGCUAACUUCGUG